CAUUUCAAAAGCCAAAACCUCCUUCAUUUUAAAAGAAAAAAAAAUCUGAUUUUUGAAGUUAGUGAAGAGAACAACACUCGCACACCAAUUUCUGCACAUUCAUUCAAACGAACCCACACCACUGCAUACUAGUACAUAAAUACCAAACCCCGCGCAAUUUGUGUAGGAUUUUAAUUUUCUUUCCCCUCGUCGUAACAGAAGAAACCUAAUUCCUCAAAUUCUCACGCUGGACAUGCUUCAAUCACUGCGCGUUCUCAAUUUGAUCAAUCAAUGGGCGCGAUGACCAUCAACCGCAAGCGCCCUGAAGAAUGCAUGAAUGUAAACCACACCAAUUCCGAUUCCCAGAGAAAACGUGCCAAAUUCUCGACCAAACCCGUGCCGUCCGCCACCAGCGCCGUCGCGAGACUCUCCCGGUACCCGGAGGUUCACGCGCCUUUGGCGAGGGAGGUCCACGCGCCGUGCCGGCAGCGAAAAUUCGAACGCGCUAGGGUUAGUGUUAGCGUCAGUGCCAGCGACGCCAUGGGGAACGUUCUGGCCGCGAAGUUUAAGGAGGCGAAGCGUUCGGCGGCGGCGAAAUGCAGAAUCUUAGUGGAGGAGGGGAAGGAGGUGACUGAAGUGGACGCGGAGACGGAGAGCGAAGGGCGUUACGAGAAUUCGAGUGUGGAAGGGGCGGGUGGCGAUGGUGACAAGGUUGUUAGGGUUCAGCAGCAGUCACAGUCAACGCUGUCGUUUGAUUCGGAGGUGACGAAUGCGAAGUUAAAGGUGGCGAGUGGAGAGAAGGUGUGGGGCUAUGAGACGCAACGCGAUUUGGAAAAUGUUCAUGUGUAUAAGAAGUUGCUUGAGGAUGUUGGGAGGAGAAGUGACACGCUUCAGAGGCUGAAUUUUGAGAUUGAUUUGCAUGAGAAGCGCAGGGACUAUUAUAAUUUGGUGCGGCCGAAGAAGGAAUUGGUUGAGGAAGAGGAAGUGCCGCAAGAGCCUUUUGUUGCUCUUACAAGUGAGGAGGAAGAUGAGGUUGAACGUGCCUUUUCUGCCAACCGGUGGAGGAUCUUGGUUACCCACAAGAAUUCUAACAUUGAGAUCACGGGAGAGAAGUUUCAGUGCCUUAGACCGGCUGGAUGGUUAAAUGAUGAGGUUAUAAAUUUGUACCUGGAAUUGCUUAAGGAGAGGGAGCAAAGAGAACCACUGAAAUUUCUGAAAUGUCAUUUUUUCAAUACCUUUUUCUACAAAAAGUUAAUAAGUGGUCCGAAAGGUUAUGAUUUCAAAUCUGUCAGAAGAUGGACAAGCCAACGGAAUUUGGGAUACAGUCUACUUGAAUGUGAUAAAAUAUUUGUACCUAUCCAUCAAGAGAUACAUUGGUGCUUGGCAGUUAUCAAUAAGAAAGAUAAGAAAUUCCAGUAUCUUGACUCAAUGAAAGGAGAGGAUAGUUCUGUGCUAGAAAAGCUGGCUAAAUAUUUUGCGGAUGAAGUAAAUGACAAGACUGGAAAACAUAUUGAUGUAAAUACCUGGAAAAAAGAAUUUGUGAAAGACCUUCCUCAGCAGAAAAAUGGGUAUGAUUGUGGGGUGUUUAUGAUAAAAUAUGCAGACUUUUAUAGCAGGGGUCUGGAGUUGUGUUUUAACCAGGAAAACAUGUCUUACUUCCGGUGUAGGACAGCUAAGGAGAUCUUGAGAUUGAAAGCUGAAUGAGGAAAGAAAUGACAGAGCAGCAUUCCAAUAUAUUGCUGUCGAUUUUUGGUGUUGUAUAUUGCUAUACGAGAGUUGAUUAUUAGACGAGGCAUAGUUUAACGGUUAAGGUGUUAUUUCUUUCUCCUCAAUCCCAUUCUUUCUAUUCAGUUUGAUCAAUAAUGUUCGUCCCUGAUGUCCUGUGAAUUAAGAGGAACGUAUUGGUAGUUAUUAAUAAUGUUUGUCCCUGAUGUCAUGUGAAUUAAGAGGAAGUAGAGUUAUGCAAUUCUGGUGUAUUCGUUGUGUAAUGUUGGUUUCACGCCUAAACUGGUACAUCUUGUUCCAAUUUUGGUGUUUAAUAAUAUUAUCUCAUGCUUGUUCCAAAAGAAAAGUUAUUAUGACAGACUCCUUUUAUAUGAUAGGACAGUGGAACUUAGCAUUCUAUAACUAUCUGUAUUAGAGGGAGGGAGUUUUUGGGUUUUGAAUCAAGAGUAUCCAUGGCUUCAAAGGUUUGAUGGCAAAUCUGUAAGGCGGUGCCAACUACAGAUCUGGUCAGGAACAGAAAGUGGCUUGGCGAUUGGACCACCUACAUCCUUAUUAUUUUCUUUUCUUGGGUCCUCAUUCUCUGUAAGGCGGUGCUCAUUUUGCUGUAUCUUUCUUCUUUUUUUAUUUUUUCUUAAAUGAAAUUGAAUUAUAGGUCUUUGAUUGUUGCCUUGUUGAUUUAGCUUCUUUUCUUUCAUGAUUUAUCCCAACCGGUGAUAACCCUUUUGGACACCUUGUAACUAAGGCUUUAGGGUUAUGCGGGUUGUUUGCCUUGUCUUGGUUGAAUCUUAGAGUUUCACUUGCCAUUAGCCUAGGAAGAUGGGAGAGACUGUAUCUGAGUUGCUAUUCCAUGUGGCUUAAUAAUAAAUUGUUUUAAUAUUCGGAAAACUUGA